rnacentral:snoRNA from 1 species
AUCCCAUGAUGAGGAUAGGCAACGACGUAUUCCUGUAGCCUUGCCCAUGCUUCUGGAUCGUCUCAUCUUUUGUCUGUUGGAAGCUGGAUAUUCUUCCACGAAGGGC